CUAAACAUAAAACCUGAAACUGAACAGAACGAGAAAAUCUGAGACCUGGAAACAUGGGCCCUGAGACUCAGGGGCCGAUAAACAGAGGAAGACGAACAGACGAUCUGAUGAAAUCUAAGUAAAUUGAUCAAUAUUAAUAAUCACAAAACAUAAACAUGGAGUCACUAGACUCUGAACCAUGACAAGCUGUCUUGUAUAUUGACUUUGAAAUAUUGUUGGACUUUUUCUGGUCUAACAGUCUUCGGGAUUCACUCAACAGAAGUUGGUAAGGUCAGCUGUGUUUCUUAUUGGUCAAGGCUAGAUCUUCUUACUUCAGUAAUCUCAUAAAUUAUAACACCUGUAAUCCCACAGUAUUAUUAACAGCAAUGUGUCUCCUCCACCUCAGCAUGCUGUGUUACUUCCUGUUCAUGACUGUAGUGGAUUUCUUAAUCACUACUGGUGACAAAGUGAUGGACUUCAUCCCAAAUUUCUUUAUUUUUCACCGCUUAUGAAGAUUGUCCGCAAUUCCCUGAGUCAUUUUUGAUGACAGCUCUGUUGGUAAUUUUCUGCCCAUUUCAGUAUAGUUAAUUCAAAAUCUUAUUUUACAAAUUAUAUAUUUUUUAAUCCUUUUCAGUUUGGUUUUCAAAAGCUACACUACCCUGAUAUUGCUCUUUUUAAGGGUAAUGAUCUUUUGAUUACUUAAUUUCCUGCAUCAGAAGAAGAGUAUAAUUAUUAAGUGUGCCUAUGCCAAGAGGCACACUUAUUACUAUUCGUCGGAUUUAUUAAGUGUGCCUAUGCCAAGAGGCACACUUAUUACUAUUCGUCGGAUUUAUUAUUCUUAUUAUUAAGUGUGCCUUUGCCAAGAGGCACACUUAUUACUAUUCGUCGGAUUUAUUAAGUGUGCCUAUGCCAAGAGGCACACUUAUUACUAUUCGUCGGAUUUAUUAUUCUUAUUGUGUGGAUGCCCUCAAAGGCAUCCACACUAUUGAGAUCCUGUUUCUCUUUAUUCUUUAUUAUUAUUGUGUGGAUGCUUUAAGGCAUCCACACUAUUGAGUUCGUGUUUCUCUUUAUUCUUUAUUAUUGUGUGGAUGCUUUAAGGCAUCCACACCAUUGAGUUCCUGUUUCUCUUUAUUCUUUGUGUGGAUGCUUUAAGGCAUCCACACUAUUGAGUUCCUGUUUCUCUUUAUUCUUUAUCCUACUUUAUUGUGUGGAUGCUGAUUAACCAUCCACACUAUUGAGUUCCUGUUUCUCUUUAUUGUGUGGAUGCCCUAAAAGGGCUUCCACACUAUUGAGUUCCUGUUUCUCUUUAUUCUU
rnacentral:lncRNA from 1 species